rnacentral:rRNA from 1 species
ACGGGAGGCAGCAGUGGGGGAUAUUGGUCAAUGGGGGAAACCCUGAACCAGCAACGCCGCGUGAGGGAAGAAGGUUUUCGGAUUGUAAACCUCUGUUUUUGGUGACGAAACAAAUGACGGUAGCCAAGGAGAAAGCCACGGCUAACUACGUGCCAGCAGCCGCGGUAAUACGUAGGUGGCAAGCGUUGUCCGGAAUUACUGGGUGUAAAGGGAGCGCAGGCGGGAGAUCAAGUCAGACGUGAAAACUAUGGGCUCAACCCAUAACGUGCGUUUGAAACUGGUUUUCUUGAGUGAAGUAGAGGUAGGCGGAAUUCCGAGUGUAGCGGUGAAAUGCGUAGAUAUUCGGAGGAACACCAGUGGCGAAGGCGGCCUACUGGGCUUUUACUGACGCUGAGGCUCGAAAGUGUGGGGAGCAAACAGGAUUAGAUACCCUGGUA